AUUGAUUUGCAUUCAAUAGAUGUAAGAUAGAGUUCUUGCAGUCCUUA
rnacentral:tRNA from 1 species